GAAAGUUGUGAGCUGCUUCUGUGGAGGAUUCUUUCUUUCUCUUCAAAUAUUAAAUAAGUUGUCUGAGCUUGAGUCGUCAAUUCAUUCUGAUAGAAUCAGAUGUCAAGCAUGCCAUCGUUAGCUUGGAGCUGGGCCACCUAAUGUGGUUAGCAGUCUGCCUCUUCCUGAAGUCAGAGCUGAAACGUUUGUGGCAGAAGCUGCAUUUUAGACCUCAGAGUUAUGAGAGAGAUUCUUCUGAAAGUGAAAAUCAAACAAGUGAGCAGCCGUGUUUGCCCAAGGCAGUGUCUCUGAGGGAGUAUGACUUUCCCUGUCCCGUUACUCUUAUUCAGAAGUUAAUCCUCAAAUCGAAUGUGUGAACUGCUCUCUUCUUACACGUGUGUGACACAGCUCACAAGUGAAAAUAGAAGGAGUGCAGAGUAAAGCAACAGCUGUCUUGGAAGAAAGAGGAAAGCCAUGGAAGGAGCUGUAGAAAGGCAAAAGGCAGAUGGGCACCAGCUUCCAGAAGGAGCGCACUGAGGUCUACGUUUCCAUCAGCAUUCGGCUUCUGGAUCUCAAGCAAAUGCUGAAAGCAAAGUUCCUUCUGAUGCUGGGGAUGAGAGCAGAUGGAAGCCAAGCUAUAGUUGAUACAGGACCUAUUCCUCAAUGACUGUUUCACUUGCAAACAAGGAGCCUUAGUGCCACUAAGAUUUGGGUACCAUGAUUCACUGAGGGCUGCCCAGGAUAAGCAGUGUCCAUGUCAUGUUUUCCAGGAUAUUCCUUCCCAGAACCACACGGCUCCUGCUCUGCUGUGCAGAAGUGCACCUCAGUCUCCAUACCUAACAAAUUGAAGGCUCUUCUUGUUUCACAGAGCAUCAGUCGACGUCCUGCCCUCGCUCUCUAAAUUUCUCCCAAGCCUUGCAAGCACCAGAAGUACGAGCGCCAGAUCCUCUCAUCUCCUUCCCUCCCUUGACCUCACCUCUGUGUCCCACACCUCUCCAGGCAGCCCAUGCACGCUCCUGAGGAAGAAUGUGGCCAAUAUACUGCCAAGUGCUGCUAAAUGGAAGAAGGCAGAGGAUAACAAAAAAUCAAAAAGACUGGAGGAAGAUUUCUUCCUGAUGCUGUAAUCUCAUGCUGCUGUUUAUCUCCACCUGUGACUUUGCUUAUUCCUUCGUCCCUCUAUAAAUCACUGCAGCUGGUGGUGCAUUCACCCAACCUUUCUGCCAGGAUGGUGUCAAACCUCUUCCCAUCAGACACCUGAACUGGUCAAUUCCUACCGCUAAACACCACUAUUUUGAAGAAGGAAAACUGAAGUGAAAGCAAAUUUCAAAGGUACUCAAGACUUGUGUGAUACGGCGCUGAGCUCUGUGCUCACACAGAGAGCUGUUGGUUUUAGGCAUGCUAAAUGAAACACAUUUUACAUCUGCAGCAGAGUAAGAAAAAGUCUCGUUUCUUUUGCCUGAACAAAAGGCAAAGCAUAUAGCAGCUGCUGUUCUUGUAGUAAAGAUUUCAAAACUGAAUGGCAGUGCUCUCUCACUCCUAUUCAUUUGACACUCAGCUUUCAGAUUGUGAUGUUCACUGUCAUAUUUAUCACUUAACUAUGAUGGGCUGUUUGGGGUGACAGUUAUGGAUGGAAGCAGCCACAGUUCUCACCACCUUUCCAGAUCCAUUUUAAGUGGUUUCUGCUCCAUCAUCACUAAGAGCUGAUGCUGCUAUUCCCAUAGUUGGGAGAUUAGAAGCAAUGUAUGAAUUCAGGCCUUUCUCCUUCCUGUGGUUGCCCUAUGGUCAGGCAGAGGAGACUUUCUCAACUCUUUCGACCACUGCUGGUGAAAUGAGCCCCACAGUACGUGAUCGAGAGAACUGACUUUGAGCUUUGAUAGUUAUAAAUAGUAGGCACUGUAAUUGUCUAGCAGUUCUCCUGCAAAGAAGAGGUAAUUGUGUGGAUGAAUAAAAUAUUGGCAUUAAAAAAACAUUUUAAGCUUAAUCUCAAAGUAGCUGAUGAAGUAUUUCUAUGGCAGACCUGUCAGCUCACGUGCUCUCAGUGGUAGCUUCUCAUGCUUGGUUGGCUCUUUUGUAAGAAGAGAAAAAGAAUUAAAAAGAAAAAAACAAAAAUGAAACACACCAGAAACACAUGCACAGUACAGAAUGCACACACAACGAAACAGCAAAAUAAUCCUGAAAAUCAAAUGCGUGCAUUUGGAGAGGGCCUUCUGCACUUCUACAUGUUACCUCUCAUGGGGAAGUUCCCAGCCCUGCCACUCAGGCAGACCCAGUGGAGGAGCUUUUCUCUCUGGGUGCCCAUCCCCAGCCUCACUGUACCUGACAACUUCAUGGUUCAGCCUGUUUCUUCUCCAGGGGGCAGAGCCAUGCUGCCUUCCCCUUCUGCAGGGAUGAAGCUUCGGCUGCCAUUACACUGUGCUCUUGGAGAGACCUUCAGCUCAAACUGAUCUACAGCCUACCUGUGGGAUAGUCUUCAGCCUCCAGGCAGAGCAAAGCAGCCAGAGCACACCUGGGAGAGGAAGGAUCCUGAAAACUGCUGCUUAUGGGGUGGCAUCAGAUUACGACCAGUUCCUAGGAUUUGGCUCAGAGAUACAGAGGAAAGCAGGGAGGUGGGCUGGCUCCUCCAUCCUGGACCAAAAGUUUGAUGCAGGGAUUGGGUCUCCUCCCACUGCAUCAAUGCAUAGGAUGAGGGGAGGAGGAAGGAAAAGUGACUGGCAUUUUGAGAUCAUUGAUAACCUUCAUGAGGCAUUAGUUUUAUUUAAUAUAGAGUGUCAUGUUGGGUCCAGUAUUUCAGGGACCGAUUUAAGAUUUAACAGCAAUUCACAAUGCUAACAUCAGCCAAAGCAUUUCUGUUUGGAUUUUAGUUCUCCAGCAGAAGGAUGACAGCACUGAAGAUUAAAGCUUUUUUUUACCCCUCCUUAAGAUCUCAGCAAAGUGCAGAUUUGAAACACAGAAAGAGGUUGACCUUCGUAUUAACCUGAAUCUCUUUUCCUGUUUCUUCUUGAACAUAUUUUAUUCUCUUUAUGCACAGUGGGGCUCUUUUUUUCUUGUGUGAGGCUGUUGAAUGAAAUGCCAGAAAGAUGGAGUGUGCACUUUUACAUCAAAGAAAUGAUGAGACCAUAAAAACUCAUUUCCCUUGUGACUUCUUAAAUUGUUGCUAAGGAAUUCAAUGAGUCUGUUUGAAACAAUGUGUCCCUUUAAAUUCUGUUUUCUUAUUUGUCUUAAAACACAAAGCCACAGUUUCUUGUAGACCCCGAUUCAAAGGCCACUCACUGAAGUCAAUAAAGGUUUCUUAGUCACUGUGUUUAGAUGUAGGUCAGAUUUUUCAAGUAUUCCACUAUGUAGAACCCAGGCAGACUGAUUUCAAAAGUUCUGGCUAUUCACAGAAAGAAAGAAAAAGGUCUAGUUUGUUUUUGUUCAUUCAGGUGGUUAAAAACGUCCCCUUCAAAGGGGCCAGAAUUGAGUCAACUGUCAACUGCUGAGCAGAACAAAUCUGACAGGGGCAAGUAAAGUGAAGCAGUAGUUAAAUUCAGAAAUCCAAAGAAGUAAAAAUGUUGAUUUACUUUAGUUUUUCUCAUGCACAGUGGUGAUGUGCAGUAGAAGCACAAACAAAACCCACAGUUCAGACUGUUGGAGGGAUACCCUGCCUAUUUCUGUGUAACAGUUUUGGGCAAUCACUCUCGCUGCUGGGGUGAAUGGUUUGUUAGUACUAUAACCCAGUGAGUUGCUAGAAAUGGUCUUGAUUGGAGAGCAUUGUAAAGCAAUUAAGUUCUGACUAUUAACAAAGCUCCCACAGAGAGCAUUAAUUUUUGAAAGUAGACAAAGUCUGCGCUACGACUUUCUAGUGACUGUGUGGAAGUGUGACCAGAGUGAAAUAUGGAAACUGCUACAGUAAGUCUCAACUGUUGUAGAUAUUCCUUAUCAGUUUCCAGGAAAAGGUUUUAAAGUUCCAAUUUAGAAAAGCAUUUAAAUGUAUUCUGAAAUUUAUUUCAAUUUAAUUGGAUACAGGUUUAACAAAUUGCUAAGUUUUUGCAUAAUAAGUAGCAAUUUAAGUAUCUUCUUAUAGAGCUGGUUUGGAUUUCAUUUAAAUAUCCUUUUCUCGGAAUUGGAGCCUUAGUCAUCUGAACUGUAAUGGGAUUUUCUGGGUCUAAAAUCCAGAAAAUGCCACUUUGCUCUCAGACCCAAGUCAGUCAUCUUCAUCUAUGAGAUACCCAUAUUGUGUGCACAUGUUCCUUUCCAGAACUCCAGCCGCCUGAGCUCUUUAACUUACUGUUUGUUUCUCUCUGCAAAGGCGUAUGAUAUUUUAAGCAGGUAACUUAACAGUGGUUCAAAAUAGUGAUUUCUUGUGUUAGCCAGUGUAAGAAAAAUCAUAGAAUCAGUCAUAGAGAAAUGCCAUGCUGAAGAUGCUAAAACCCCAGAAUGGAGGUCUCCAUCUCUGAUCGUUCUCAGAGGUUGAAAUUGCAGUUCGUCAUCUUCCUAUCUAUUGUACCCAAUUUCUGGUUGCUCUGCUCUGUUUUAUGCCUUGAAAAGGACAUUUGCUUUAAUGGUCCCAUGCUGGGAUUUCAGAACGAUGGGGAAACAUUGCUACCAGUAAAAUAUGUGGAACUAUUUUCAAAACGUUGGUGUGAGCCAACAGGACCUAUCAAAGCCUUUGCAAAAGCAUAAAACCAACUUCUCAGAUUACAUUGUUUAUAAUUUCUCUUGGGUUAUUUCCCAGUAACACAGAAAACGUGUGACUCUUUUUGUAUCCGAAAGGAGUUUGGCCAGUGCUGAGGUGGGAGCACAGGAUCUUUACCAAACAAGGCUCCGUGUCGUGACGGGCAGUCUUUAGGACUCUGAGUAACUGAAUGCUUGUAGCACUUCACUUUCUGAAGAUAGAUGAAGCGUCUUCUGAAUUACAUGUGGUUUUUUUAUGGUUUGUUGUCUUGUUUUUCUCCUUGUAGUGUAAUUCUGAACCACAUGAUCAAGCCAGGUGUUAUUCCAUGCUACUGCUUCUGAAAAUGCAGAUGCAGCAGAUGCAGGCAUACGGGUUCAGUGAAUCAGGAACAGAUAAGUGUCAACUUUCCUCUGUGGUUGUGGUUGCAAAGACCCUUGUGCUGAACGUUUAUUCUCUAGUGUUUAGAAAGGAACAGUUUGAUUAUAGCAGUACUUUGUUUAAAAAAAUUUCUUGAUAACUACACUGAAAGUGGAUAUUUUCUGCUAUUACUUAAAACUCAGUGUUGGUUGCAAACCCAAAGAAAACAGGUACCCAUGUUCAAUAGCCAUACCUAAUACACUGUUGUGUUAGAUACCACAAUCCUAAUUCCAUAAGAUGGUGUUCUUGGAAACAGCAGAAAAUCAGCAUGGAAUAGAAAAAAUUUCCUCCAGAAGAUGCAGUUUCCAUUGUAAAACCAGUCGUUUGCAUUUUUAACAUCCCACCUUGCUAGUUUUUCUUCUUCUAUUGGGAAGAAGUUCAUAACAAGUUCACUCCUUUUAAUCUAAGGAAAAUGAACAGACCUCCCAGAGUUGAAAACCCGCUGUACAAACAGCAAAAUUAUUCCGACUUCCAGGAGUAAUUUAAUUAGAAGGAUUCUUCAGAGUGGCUUUUUUUUUUUUUUUUUUUUUUUUCAUUAGAAAAUGUGGUGUUUUUCACGCUGUACAGCACAAAACCUUUGGCAUUUUUGUAAAGUGUAAUAAAAUAAUCACUGGGAAUUUCUGGAUCUUUCUCUAUAGGAGUUGCUACCCAUUUUUCUUUUUAAGCUAAUUUAAGGGACAGAGUAGCUCAAUAAUUUGUUUUUCUGCUUAAAAAGGUGACUUUGAAGAAGAGUGACAUGAUAAACCUUCCACGGUGAUUAUGGAAAAUAUUGUUUCUGCUAUUUAUGAAAUACACUGUGAUGCUCUUUUGAUUAAAAAUGAAGAUGAAAAUCUUUCAAAACCUUUGAGACAAAAUUAUUUCAGCAAACAAAGAAUGAGAAGAGUAUCUGGUAGUGGUGUGGACUUCUGCAUGGUCUUGAAUAUGUGCUGCUCUGUGGAAGAACCAUUUCCAGAAGUGGCAUUUGUCCCCACAGACUUUUUAUGUCCAGGUGUUUCACUUAUCUGUAGUUCCACUUAUGUUUUCUUUUCUUUUCUUUCAACUAAUGUCCAGGACAAGUUAAAGUGAAUCCUACAUUCACUGGCUGACUAGGUGCUAAUUGCUAACAUCAGUUCUGAACCUGAGACAGAUAUUAGCUCCAUGUGCAAUUAGCACACUGAUGUACAGAGGAACUGAGAUCCCAAGAUGAAAACCAGAAGAAUGAGGUGCUGUACUGUCAUUUUGGAAGACAGUACCCCAUUUUCACUACUUAUAGUUACAGAACAUCAUUAGUUUUUGAAAAUGAACAGGAAAAUCUGCUAUUAGUGUUCCUUCCUGCUGUUAUGCAGCAUGAGGGGUUCUCAAUGUCUAUGCUUGUACUUUGUUGCUCUUGUUGAAACAUCCCUUUCUUGAAGAGAUCAUUUAGGACUGGGAAGAC
ensembl:lncRNA